rnacentral:lncRNA from 1 species
UUAUAAUUUAGUUUUGACACUUGAAGUUAUGAAGUUUUGGUUUAAAUUAUUAAGAUUGAUGGGAUUGUUGUUGAAGUGUGGGGGUGGUGAGUGUGUAUGGGUAUUAGUAUUUGUUUAUCUAUCUGUUUUCGAAAACAAUGGAUCACAUAAGUUGGCCGCGGCCGAAGAAGUCAUUGGAGAAAAGCCCCACUGAUGAAAGCCCGGGCGAAUCCAUGUCUUCUUAUUCUAAUAGAUUCUCUGGUGAUCAGAGGAUGGAGGCGGAAUGUAUUCGGGUGAACUUGAGAUAAUCAACAAGUAAAACAACACCAUUGCCCGGAGUAAUGUAAAUCCUUUUCCAACACUUCUCAUGUUAUUGGGUGUUCCAGAGGUUAAUCGGUUUGCCAAUAUAUACAAGUGAAGGCAUUAGCGUCAUUAGCGCCACAAAGAAGACUAGG